rnacentral:rRNA from 1 species
AUUGAACGCUGGCGGCAGGCCUAACACAUGCAAGUCGAGCGGAUGAAGGGAGCUUGCUCCUGGAUUCAGCGGCGGACGGGUGAGUAAUGCCUAGGAAUCUGCCUGGUAGUGGGGGAUAACGUCCGGAAACGGGCGCUAAUACCGCAUACGUCCUGAGGGAGAAAGUGGGGGAUCUUCGGACCUCACGCUAUCAGAUGAGCCUAGGUCGGAUUAGCUAGUUGGUGGUGUAAAGGCCUACCAAGGCGACGAUCCGUAACUGGUCUGAGAGGAUGAUCAGUCACACUGGAACUGAGACACGGUCCAGACUCCUACGGGAGGCAGCAGUGGGGAAUAUUGGGCAAUGGGCGAAAGCCUGAUCCAGCCAUGCCGCGUGUGUGAAGAAGGUCUUCGGAUUGUAAAGCACUUUUAGUUGGGAGGAAGGGCAGUAAGUUAAUACCUUGCUGUUUUGACGUUACCAACAGAAUAAGCACCGGCUAACUUCGUG